AUGGCUCAGGAUGAACGCUGGCGGCGUGCCUAACACAUGCAAGUCGAACGAAGCAUAGUGGAAUGAGAUUCGUCGAAGGAAGUUAUGACUUAGUGGCGGACGGGUGAGUAAUGUAUGAGCAACCUGCCUUUCAGAGGGGGACAACAGUUGGAAACGACUGCUAAUACCGCAUAAUGUAUUUUUAAGGGCAUCCUUGGAAUACCAAAGGAGCAAUCCGCUGAAAGAUGGGCUCAUAUCUGAUUAGUUAGUUGGCAGGGUAACGGCCUACCAAGACUGCGAUCAGUAGCCGGACUGAGAGGUUGAACGGCCACAUUGGGACUGAGAUACGGCCCAGACUCCUACGGGAGGCAGCAGUGGGGAAUAUUGGGCAAUGGGCGAAAGCCUCGACCCAGCAACGCCGCGUGAAGGAAGAAGGUCUUCGGAUUGUAAACUUCUUUUAUGAGGGACGAAGGACGUGACGGUACCUCAUGAAUAAGCCACGGCUAACUACGUGCCAGCCGCAGC
rnacentral:rRNA from 1 species